rnacentral:lncRNA from 1 species
AAAAAAUAAGAUAUAUUAACGCAAAGGUGAAUCACCGCGCACAAGAUGUGCAACGAGAGAAACACAGCAAAAUAGUUACAAAGUCAACGGUGCCGAAUAAGCAAGCACCGCCAAAUAAAAGAAAAAGAGAUGAAAUCGUUAAACUACGCCACCCAUGCAUAAAACAAUAAACUUUAAUUAAUUUCCAGUUCUUUAUUAAAUUGUUGUUGGAUAUACACAUAAAAAUAUUGAAGUGGGUUAUAUUUAUGAAGGAAUAAUGGUAAUCUGUAAUGCUGAAUAAAUUAAUAUCGCACCGGUUGUCAUUUGAUUUUGUGUUAUUACAAAAUAUUGUCUCUACCAAUUGAUCUAAGCUCCCAAAGUGAAAAAUUAAAGUUAUUUCAAUAAAUUUAAGGUUUGAUGUGUGUAUAUCACAAUCUAUUUAUUUAUUUAUUUAUUUAUUUAUUUCUUCCUGAUUUUUAUCAUUUACUUGACUCAUUGAUUUAUAUGAUGCCCCAAAUAUAUGAUUUAAUAUGCUUUGUAUUGACUAGAAACUAGAUAUUAAUAGUUAAACAUGAAACUGAAGAUAAUGAAAUGCGUUAGGGCCAAUGUUUUUAAAACCGAACCGGAGAUCAAACUGGUGAUAGCCCCGAUUCAUGGUUUAACCGGUUCAACUGCUAUUGAACCGUAUAAUAAAUACAUAACAUAAAUUAUAAAAUUUAUAAUUAACACUGUAAAAUUUAACAAGAUCACAAACUAAUUUUUUCACUAAGCCCAGCAGUGGACUAGCAAAAUGAAGCUCACGUUAAAAAUUAGCCCAAUCAAUAUUCGUUAUUGUUGAUAGAAACCUAAACCAAAAUUUACCAGCGCCGUUUCUAUGUUUUCCUUUUCCAGACUUUCUCUCUCCAUCAUCUCAGUUCACGUUCUACAUCUUUUUUUUCUUCCUCUACUCAUCAGUUCAAUCUGCUUCAAUCUAUCUCUUCUUCAUCUCAUUUGCUUCACAUCCUCUCAUUUUCUUAAUCAUUUAUUUGUUGAUUUGAACUUUUUUUUUUUUUUUGGUUUUAACUGUUGAUUUGAACAGAUUCGAACAACCUUGAACUAAAUAUUGAGAUUUUUUGUUUGAAAAAAAAAACUUGAGAUCGUCCGAUUUUAUCNCACCAAGGCAAUAAUCUAUAUCAAAGUUUAUCCAAGUGCAAUAUUAAUACCUCCCAUAAAUGUUUUCACUACUUCAUUCAUUCGAGAUUGUAUAGAAAUAAUAAUGAUUUAUUUGUAGAGAUUAAAUACUAUGAACUUAGGUGCGAUAUUCGACCUUAUCAACACAUAAAUAGGGCAAACAGCCACAGACUUUAAUUUGAAUAAAAAAUCAUCACAAAAAUUUGCAGUAGGUACCUUUGAAGCUUAAGUCUUCCAUAAAUGUUAUGGGAUCAACAACAAUAAUGAAAGUGAGCAUACCUUUAUUGAUGGCAAUCUAAUUAAUGGAAUUAACGAGCAACACUAUAACUUGCGAGCUUCAUUGUGACUUGUGAGGCUUGUGCUGACGCCUGUUCACGGAGACAGUAGGUACCGGUGAAACCUAUUAAGUGUCGAUUCUCCUUCGAUUGAAGGAAUUUUCACAAGCCUUCUUUCAUUAUUGUAGCGAUUUUGACUUUGCCUUGUAUAGCUUCAGAAGUGGUCUCUUUUUGUGAGAAUGAGAUGAGGUGCAGGUAUGGUGGCGACGAAACAACUUCUUAUCGUCGGCGAGGUUGUUGCCUUGCUUCCGAAUUGAUUUUCAUCCAACGGCGUCGUGAUCGGAGUAUUCGGUCAUCGUGGUGGUUGGGAAUGAUGAAGUUAGGUUCCUAAAUCCAAGAGGUGUGAUUUAGGGUUUUGAUGUGGAAAGGUUAUUCGGAUCGCAGUUUAGUGGUUACGAUUAAGAUUUCUAUGGCUUUAGGGUUUCUAAAUUGCGGAUUACGAUUCAAAAGAGUGGUCUAGGUUAGUUUUACCUUUUCCCACAGACGGCGCCAACUAUACUUGAAAAAAGCACAAUAAGGGAUAUUAGGGUUAAGUAUCGUAUUCUAGGGUUUAGAUUGAUAAUUGGAUGCCUUGAGAAUGAUCUCAAGAGUAGUAUUUAUAGCCUGCUAUGAGGUUGGGUUUCGGUUGCUUUGCUCUCAAGCAACAGGGGUAUUUUUGUAUUUUAGGCGGUUUCUGGAAGCUAAGGACCUCAAUAUCCCUUCUCGAGGGCGUCUGAGCCCUUCUAGAGGGCGUCUAAGCCCUUCUAGAGGGAUUCUAAGCCUUUAGGAAUAUUAUGACGGUUUACAACCAAUUAUUGAAUCCUUGUUUGCAAAGGACUUCCCAUUAAGCUGAAGUUUACUAAGCCUUAAGUUUGUCUGGAUAAAUAAUUCAAUAUGAAUAGUGAUUUUUAUGGCCAGCAACCCGUUAUCGGUCAAUGGCUUCUGACUCUGUCAACGUCAUUUGGUUUGGUUCUUAUCGGUCCAAGGAACCGCGACUCCAAAAAUGGCUUCUGGUUUUUCCCAUACACAUAAAUCAGCCUCUAUGAAUCAUCUUGAACAACUUCCAAACAUGAUAUUUCCUAUAAAUACUAACAUGCUAUCUCCUAAGACUGUUGAGCAUCCCAUGUCUAAGGCUUGAAUUAGUGUCCCUUCUUCCGGUAGGAUAUCACCAUGAAGUGUUGAACAAAUCUCCACAAUGAGCCGUCAAAUGUCUGUGCCUUUGCUCAGCCUGAGAAACAACAUCAACAACUUGGAGUAUUAAUUUUAGGGACUUUGGUUCCAACAUUUCUGCCUCAGUUGUUGAAUCCGCUACAAAUCCACGGUCUAUGUGGAAAUCUCUUAAUUGCAUGGCUGAUUGGUCGGUUAAUGGAGACGAAUAAGCCACGAAAUAUGCGCGAUGCAUCCACUUUUCAACAUUAAAUCAUUGCUAGGCAAGGCUGGGAAGGAAGAGAAGUAUCUUAUUGAGAUAGAUAUUUAAAUUUUUCAUCUACAUAUUCUUUUGGUAAAUUUUUUCGGAAGUAGACAACAAGGAAGAGAAGUAGUGAAGGAAGUAAUGCUGGCAAGGCUGGCUAUGAGUGCAUGAAGCAUAUUAUAUUUUUCAAAGAAAAGAAUAACAUUGUGAUUUUAUACUUUGCUAGGUAUAUAAGUUUGGUCUGAUAUUCAAUAGGGAUAGAAAGCUAGAUUGAUUUUCAUCCAACGGCGUCGUGAUCGGAGUAUUCGGUCAUCGUGGUGGUUGGGAAUGAUGAAGUUAGGUUCCUAAAUCCGAGAGGUGUGAUUUAGGGUUUUGAUGUGGAAAGGUUAUUCGGAUCGCAGUUUAGUGGUUACGAUUAAGAUUUCUAUGGCUUUAGGGUUUCUAAAUUGCGGAUUACGAUUCAAAAGAGUGGUCUAGGUUAGUUUUACCUUUUCCCACAGACGGCGCCAACUAUACUUGAAAAAAGCACAAUAAGGGAUAUUAGGGUUAAGUAUCGUAUUCUAGGGUUUAGAUUGAUAAUUGGAUGCCUUGAGAAUGAUCUCAAGAGUAGUAUUUAUAGCCUGCUAUGAGGUUGGGUUUCGGUUGCUUUGCUCUCAAGCAACAGGGGUAUUUUUGUAUUUUAGGCGGUUUCUGGAAGCUAAGGACCUCAAUAUCCCUUCUCGAGGGCGUCUGAGCCCUUCUAGAGGGCGUCUAAGCCCUUCUAGAGGGAUUCUAAGCCUUUAGGAAUAUUAUGACGGUUUACAACCAAUUAUUGAAUCCUUGUUUGCAAAGGACUUCCCAUUAAGCUGAAGUUUACUAAGCCUUAAGUUUGUCUGGAUAAAUAAUUCAAUAUGAAUAGUGAUUUUUAUGGCCAGCAACCCGUUAUCGGUCAAUGGCUUCUGACUCUGUCAACGUCAUUUGGUUUGGUUCUUAUCGGUCCAAGGAACCGCGACUCCAAAAAUGGCUUCUGGUUUUUCCCAUACACAUAAAUCAGCCUCUAUGAAUCAUCUUGAACAACUUCCAAACAUGAUAUUUCCUAUAAAUACUAACAUGCUAUCUCCUAAGACUGUUGAGCAUCCCAUGUCUAAGGCUUGAAUUAGUGUCCCUUCUUCCGGUAGGAUAUCACCAUGAAGUGUUGAACAAAUCUCCACAAUGAGCCGUCAAAUGUCUGUGCCUUUGCUCAGCCUGAGAAACAACAUCAACAACUUGGAGUAUUAAUUUUAGGGACUUUGGUUCCAACAUUUCUGCCUCAGUUGUUGAAUCCGCUACAAAUCCACGGUCUAUGUGGAAAUCUCUUAAUUGCAUGGCUGAUUGGUCGGUUAAUGGAGACGAAUAAGCCACGAAAUAUGCGCGAUGCAUCCACUUUUCAACAUUAAAUCAUUGCUAGGCAAGGCUGGGAAGGAAGAGAAGUAUCUUAUUGAGAUAGAUAUUUAAAUUUUUCAUCUACAUAUUCUUUUGGUAAAUUUUUUCGGAAGUAGACAACAAGGAAGAGAAGUAGUGAAGGAAGUAAUGCUGGCAAGGCUGGCUAUGAGUGCAUGAAGCAUAUUAUAUUUUUCAAAGAAAAGAAUAACAUUGUGAUUUUAUACUUUGCUAGGUAUAUAAGUUUGGUCUGAUAUUCAAUAGGGAUAGAAAGCUAGAUUGAUUUUCAUCCAACGGCGUCGUGAUCGGAGUAUUCGGUCAUCGUGGUGGUUGGGAAUGAUGAAGUUAGGUUCCUAAAUCCGAGAGGUGUGAUUUAGGGUUUUGAUGUGGAAAGGUUAUUCGGAUCGCAGUUUAGUGGUUACGAUUAAGAUUUCUAUGGCUUUAGGGUUUCUAAAUUGCGGAUUACGAUUCAAAAGAGUGGUCUAGGUUAGUUUUACCUUUUCCCACAGACGGCGCCAACUAUACUUGAAAAAAGCACAAUAAGGGAUAUUAGGGUUAAGUAUCGUAUUCUAGGGUUUAGAUUGAUAAUUGGAUGCCUUGAGAAUGAUCUCAAGAGUAGUAUUUAUAGCCUGCUAUGAGGUUGGGUUUCGGUUGCUUUGCUCUCAAGCAACAGGGGUAUUUUUGUAUUUUAGGCGGUUUCUGGAAGCUAAGGACCUCAAUAUCCCUUCUCGAGGGCGUCUGAGCCCUUCUAGAGGGCGUCUAAGCCCUUCUAGAGGGAUUCUAAGCCUUUAGGAAUAUUAUGACGGUUUACAACCAAUUAUUGAAUCCUUGUUUGCAAAGGACUUCCCAUUAAGCUGAAGUUUACUAAGCCUUAAGUUUGUCUGGAUAAAUAAUUCAAUAUGAAUAGUGAUUUUUAUGGCCAGCAACCCGUUAUCGGUCAAUGGCUUCUGACUCUGUCAACGUCAUUUGGUUUGGUUCUUAUCGGUCCAAGGAACCGCGACUCCAAAAAUGGCUUCUGGUUUUUCCCAUACACAUAAAUCAGCCUCUAUGAAUCAUCUUGAACAACUUCCAAACAUGAUAUUUCCUAUAAAUACUAACAUGCUAUCUCCUAAGACUGUUGAGCAUCCCAUGUCUAAGGCUUGAAUUAGUGUCCCUUCUUCCGGUAGGAUAUCACCAUGAAGUGUUGAACAAAUCUCCACAAUGAGCCGUCAAAUGUCUGUGCCUUUGCUCAGCCUGAGAAACAACAUCAACAACUUGGAGUAUUAAUUUUAGGGACUUUGGUUCCAACAUUUCUGCCUCAGUUGUUGAAUCCGCUACAAAUCCACGGUCUAUGUGGAAAUCUCUUAAUUGCAUGGCUGAUUGGUCGGUUAAUGGAGACGAAUAAGCCACGAAAUAUGCGCGAUGCAUCCACUUUUCAACAUUAAAUCAUUGCUAGGCAAGGCUGGGAAGGAAGAGAAGUAUCUUAUUGAGAUAGAUAUUUAAAUUUUUCAUCUACAUAUUCUUUUGGUAAAUUUUUUCGGAAGUAGACAACAAGGAAGAGAAGUAGUGAAGGAAGUAAUGCUGGCAAGGCUGGCUAUGAGUGCAUGAAGCAUAUUAUAUUUUUCAAAGAAAAGAAUAACAUUGUGAUUUUAUACUUUGCUAGGUAUAUAAGUUUGGUCUGAUAUUCAAUAGGGAUAGAAAGCUAGAUUGAUUUUCAUCCAACGGCGUCGUGAUCGGAGUAUUCGGUCAUCGUGGUGGUUGGGAAUGAUGAAGUUAGGUUCCUAAAUCCGAGAGGUGUGAUUUAGGGUUUUGAUGUGGAAAGGUUAUUCGGAUCGCAGUUUAGUGGUUACGAUUAAGAUUUCUAUGGCUUUAGGGUUUCUAAAUUGCGGAUUACGAUUCAAAAGAGUGGUCUAGGUUAGUUUUACCUUUUCCCACAGACGGCGCCAACUAUACUUGAAAAAAGCACAAUAAGGGAUAUUAGGGUUAAGUAUCGUAUUCUAGGGUUUAGAUUGAUAAUUGGAUGCCUUGAGAAUGAUCUCAAGAGUAGUAUUUAUAGCCUGCUAUGAGGUUGGGUUUCGGUUGCUUUGCUCUCAAGCAACAGGGGUAUUUUUGUAUUUUAGGCGGUUUCUGGAAGCUAAGGACCUCAAUAUCCCUUCUCGAGGGCGUCUGAGCCCUUCUAGAGGGCGUCUAAGCCCUUCUAGAGGGAUUCUAAGCCUUUAGGAAUAUUAUGACGGUUUACAACCAAUUAUUGAAUCCUUGUUUGCAAAGGACUUCCCAUUAAGCUGAAGUUUACUAAGCCUUAAGUUUGUCUGGAUAAAUAAUUCAAUAUGAAUAGUGAUUUUUAUGGCCAGCAACCCGUUAUCGGUCAAUGGCUUCUGACUCUGUCAACGUCAUUUGGUUUGGUUCUUAUCGGUCCAAGGAACCGCGACUCCAAAAAUGGCUUCUGGUUUUUCCCAUACACAUAAAUCAGCCUCUAUGAAUCAUCUUGAACAACUUCCAAACAUGAUAUUUCCUAUAAAUACUAANGUUUUAACUGUUGAUUUGAACAGAUUCGAACAACCUUGAACUAAAUAUUGAGAUUUUUUGUUUGAAAAAAAAAACUUGAGAUCGUCCGAUUUUAUCAAACCGUGACCGGUUCGGCGAUUUUCCCGGUUAUCAUCGGUUCUUCCAGUUUUCUAUCGGUUCUUAAGAACAAUGGUUUUGUACAUAGUUUUAAAACUCGGCUCGGUCAUCGAUUCGAUGACCCGGUCUUAU